UCGCCAGCUCCCCAAAGCGCCUUCCGUGGCCCCCCCGGCAGGGCCUGGAUCCCUGAACGUGUGCUGCGAAGGGGGCUUUCCUUGGCAGGGGUGGACAUGGGGCGCCCACCCACGGGGUCCCACGAGGACUCCCCGGCCCCGUUUCCCCCGCGCAGGCAUCCCCGGGGCCCUGUGCGCUCCGCGCGGAGAGAGGCAGACCAUGAAAGGGUUAACGGGCACGAAAGACGCCUAGAUAGAGACCCCCCGUCCCUCCCCAUCUCGUCUUGGGGGUCCCCUCCGGAUGGAGAGAUGGGUCGCGCUUGGCGAGGGGCAGUUUCAGAGUGACUGACUCUGGCUGAGAUACAAUCCUUCAGCAUCUGAUGAUAGCAAUUGCAUGAACCUCCCCAGUCAAAGGAUCCAUUUUCAUGGUAGACAGUGCCUGUCGCUGGAGGUUCUACAUACAAGGUGUGCCUAUACAGGCCAAAGACUGCCAGUAUUAGCACAGGCAGUGUCAGAGUGACUGACAAGCUGAGAUACAACCCAUCAGAAUCCGAUGACAGCAACUGCAUGAAUCUUCCCAGUCAAAGGACCCAUUUUCAUGAUAGACAGUGCCUGUGACUGGAGGCUCUACAUACAAGGUGUGCCUAUGCAGGCCAAAGACUGCAAGUAUUAGCACAGGGCCUGCCUUCACCUGCAGCAGAAUUCCCCAACCCAUCAAUGAUUUGAAACCCAUCAGCUAUCCUCACCUGAUUUAGCCGGCCGAUUGAAGCCGUUCCUGGGAUUGUGGCCCCUGUUCCAUCCUGACAGCUUCUGGAAGCCACAGUUCUCUUCCUUGAAACCCAAACAGGAUUCCCUUUCAUCCCACUCUGAAGAAGGAGAGGGAGAAGACAGUCAAAACUCCAGUGAAUGGGGCACCUUUCAUAUCAUUAGGAAUAGAAAUUAAAAUGUGUGAAAUGCAGAAUAUGCUUCAUUGAAUGAGGAAACAUAGUUCACAUCAACGACCUCCAACAGGGGAGAAACCAUUUAAAGGUAUGGAGUGCAGAAAGAGCUUCAGUACCAGUGGAAACCU